rnacentral:rRNA from 1 species
AUGGCCGAGCGUUUCCCAGGCGACGGCGCGGCGGCGAACGGAUUCGGGCGCCGUCAUCUGCACGAGGACGAGGCUCGCCUCCUUUUCGAGGCCGAGUACUCGGUCCCGCCGGACAUGCGGGUGCCCGGGGCGUGGAGGAUCAACGCCGGCGGCGUGCCGGUGCCCCCGGUACCUACCGGCGCGGCGCGGCGUGCGGAGAUCGCACGCAUCCGCUUGUCCCUGCCGCGUGCGGCAAGGGAGGGGCCCCGGUACGUCCCCGACAGCCCAAUCUGGGAGCCAUACUUCCGCCGCCGGCACGACGAGCAGCUUGAGGCCACCAACGGCGUCGUGCCCUCCGGCAGGUUCAACGCCGCCGGCCGGCGUCAGUGGUGGGGCGUGCCCGGGCGCACGUUGGAGUCCGUCCUCGAGUACAUCGAGGGCGGCAACACGCCACGCCUCGAGUACCCCGCUCCCCCGUCCUUCUCACGCCGCCGGGGAAGCUCCUGGACGUCGAGGCGCAUGGAGACCGGGGUGUCCUCCUCCUCGUCCGGCGGCUCUCCCUGCCUCCACCUCCGCCCCGUCAAGCCGGAGCCCCAUGACACGCCUGUCAGCGCGCGUACCCGCAGCUCCGGCGCCCUCGUCGAGCCCAAGGUGGAGUCCAACCUCCCCCCGAAGUACGAGGAGAUAGCCCAACGCGGCUUCUCCGAUGAGGAUGCCGUGCGGUGGUCGCGCGACGACUACCUGCGCGAGGAGAUGAUCCGGCAGCGCCGGGCCCUGGAGGAGAUCACCGCCCGCAAACAUGGGCGCGAGGACGAGGACGGUGUCGUCGUCCUCGGUAGCGACGACGACGACGCCCCCGGACCGUCCAACCCGCCGCGCCAACCGGGGGAGGGAUGCAGCAGGGACGACGGAGGCGUAGGCAGGGGUGACGACGACGACGACGACUACACGCGGUUCUACAGCCUCCUUGGCAUGUAG